rnacentral:rRNA from 1 species
UCUGGAACUGCCAUCAAAACUUUUCAGCUAGAGUAUGAUAGAGGAAAGCAGAAUUUCUAGUGUAGAGGUGAAAUUCGUAGAUAUUAGAAAGAAUACCAAUUGCGAAGGCAGCUUUCUGGAUCAUUACUGACACUGAGGAACGAAAGCAUGGGUAGCGAAGAGGAUUAGAUACCCUCGUAGUCCAUGCCGUAAACGAUGUGUGUUAGACGUUGGAAAUUUAUUUUCAGUGUCGCAGCGAAAGCGAUAAACACACCGCCUGGGGAGUACGACCGCAAGGUUAAAACUCAAAUGAAUUGACGGGGACCCGCACAAGUAGUGGAGCAUGUGGUUUAAUUCGAAGAUACGCGCAGAACCUUACCAACACUUGACAUGUUCGUCGCGACUCUAAGAGAUUAGAGUUUUCGGUUCGGCCGGACGAAACACAGGUGCUGCAUGGCUGUCGUCAGCUCGUGUCGUGAGAUGUUGGGUUAAGUCCCGCAACGAGCGCAACCCUCACUUUUAGUUGCCAUCAUUUAGUUGGGCACUCUGAAAGAACUGCCAGUGAUAAGCUGGAGGAAGGUGGGGAUGACGUCAAGUCCUCAUGGCCCUUACGUGUUGGGCUACACACGUGCUACAAUGGCAUCUACAACAGGAAGCAAAACGGCAACGUUAAGCAAAUCCCGAAAAGAUGCCUCAGUUCGGAUUGCACUCUGCAACUCGAGUGCAUGAAGCUGGAAUUACUAGUAAUCGUGGAUCAGCGUGCCACGGUGAAUGCGUUCCCGGGUCUUGUACACACCGCCCGUCACACCAUGGGAGUUGGUUCUACCUUAAGGCAAGGUUUUAAACCCUUGACCACGGUAUAGUCAGCGACUGGGGUGAAGUCGUAACAAGGUAACCAA